GGAGUUAGCCGGUGCUUCUUCUGUGAGUGAUGUCCUUCCUGCCGGCUAUUAACCCGCAGGCCUUCUUCCUCACUGAAAGUGCUUUACAACCCGAAGGCCUUCUUCACACACGCGGCAUGGCUGGAUCAGGGUUGCCCCCAUUGUCCAAUAUUCCCCACUGCUGCCUCCCGUAGGAGUCUGGGCCGUGUCUCAGUCCCAGUGUGGCUGAUCAUCCUCUCAGACCAGCUACGGAUCGUCGCCUUGGUGAGCCGUUACCUAACCAACCAGCUAAUCCGACAUAGGCUCAUCCGAUAGCGCGAGGCCCGAAGGUCCCCCGCUUUCCCCCGUAGGGCGUAUGCGGUAUUAGCCUGGGUUUCCCCCAGGUUAUCCCCCGACUACCGGGCAGAUUCCUAUGCAUUACUCACCCGUCCGCCGCUCGCCACCAGGGAGCAAGCUCCCCGUGCUGCCGCUCGACUUGCAUGUGUUAGGCCUGCCGCCAGCGUUCAAUCUGAGCCAUGAUCAAACUCUGA
rnacentral:rRNA from 1 species